CUGUCAACAUGGGCUGCUGUGUGUACGUUGAGGGGGGAAAAAAAUGAACCAAAAUGAUUUUAACAAAUGGCCACAAUAUAACGAAGCGUGAAAAUUGAAGGGGGUCUGAAUACUUUCCGUCCCCACUGUAAAUAGAAACGUGCUCCUAUAUUUUGGCGAUCGGCCGGCAUUUUUGGACGUAACCCAUGUUAUGUGGCAGGAAGUGGCUAUAUCUUCCUGUCUGAAGGAAGCAUUUCAACGGGCGAUUAUUUUUUUCAAACAACAACCCUAUUUUUAAUCACUAAUGUAGAAAAAUACCCAUCCAGACUUUCAAUCUAGGCAACAAUUACACCGCAGAAUACGUAGACGUUCCACGAGGAAAUGUUCUCGCCUUCCGCCAUCAACGUGUCAGGCUGUGACAGGCUGACGUGUCCCAAAUGUGGGCGGGCCAUUUAAGGUCCUUUUUAAAGGUCAGAGGACAAAGAUGUUAAACAUUUUCUUGAUAACUCUUGAAUUAUUUACAAAGCACAUUUCAAAGUGAUUGUAUCGCAGAUAUACAGCAGUUAAAUGGAUAAAUAUGAUCCAGAAUGCGCCCUCCGGUCUUCGUCUUUCCGGAGCCGUGACGUAACACUUGCCAAACAGGCCGUUCAUCCGGCGUCGUGUGCUAUUGUUCCCGCCCUUGCGUUUUUGUUGUCGUGUGAGUCGGUGAUUUCACGAUUGUUUAUUGUGUGGCAUUUGGCUGUACAAAUGGUUCAGGCAGUGGCAAGAGUUUCUUGGGCUUUCCAAGUGAAAAGGGAAUACGUGACGCGGAUGGGGAUAGUCAAUCGAUAGCGGAAGAACCGUGAUCCGCUAUGGGUGCCUAGCAAGCAUUCCAAACUCUGUGACGAUCACUUGAUAAUAACAACACUUGGAACCGCCAUUUAGCGGACAGCGUGGGAUACACAAGUGUAGUUAGGCAGAGACUGAAACCAGCUGUGGUGCCGACUAUUUUUCCUACGGCCACCGGGACCUCAACCGCCAGCAAGAGAACUGAAUCUCGCAGCAGCGAAGCGGCGCGGACGAGAGGUGAGCAUUUCCUUGUCUAUACCUACGACUCUAUUAUGGCUAUUAUGCACUGGGCAGUGGGGGGGGGAAAAAGACCCAUGCGAUAUUUUCAGUCUUGUCUUCUGUACUUUUGCCUAUAUGACAAGCCGACAGACACGCGGCAAAGACUUUCUGUGCAGCGUGUUAGAACGCCGCUCGAGCGAGGGGCACGCAAUAUAUAGGAAUAUUGCAUACUAUGUCAAAGCUUGUGCCGUGUCACUGAAACAUAUAUGAAUAUAUAAUGUGUAUAGUCCUGCUAAAAAAGAUUGGCACCCCUGGGGUGCCAUUAUUUCUAGCCAUGACUAUAAAAAGCCAUGCUUUUUUUCCCUAUACUGUCUGACCCCAUGAGCAUGCCUGUUGCAUUUUAUUUGAACAAAAGAAUCCUCCUCUCUAUUCUGGCAUUCAGCGAAUAGACAUAGUUUUGGUAAUCCCAAAACGGGAAAAGUUUAGUCUGAUUUCAUGUCAGUCGGCCGGCCAAAAAGGUCGACUUGGUACAGGUAAAUAAUCUUUGCGAUGACACUUCUCGGGAUCAAGCUAGUCGUCGGGCCAAAUGUUUUGCGGUUAGGGAAAGGCGUCACCGUGAAAAACAUUGUGACAGACCGCCACGCUCAAAUUUAGACAUUUCUGAGGGAAAUCCAUAAGGACCUUUGCCACUGGUUUGACGUUUGGCAUGUCUUCCCUCUGAGUUUGUCACUUUUAUGAUUGCCCAUGCAUGUUUCCGUUUUUUUACAUUGAAGGGCUCAUCAGACAAAGGUAUUUGACACACUGGACUGAUAACCAUUUUCUUUUCAGGAAUCAAGAAGCAGCUGCUGGCCCUUUCCAAAAAGGCCGCUCGCGAGGCGGCGUUGACAUGGUCGCGGUCCAUCGCCAAUCACUUUUAUCGGUCAGCAGCAUCAAGCGAAGGGAACAGUGAGGAAUGUCGGCAAAAGGGGAUGUCGGUCGCCAACCGUGUCGUGAAUGUUCACAAGGGCCAUGGCAUGGUGACACAUUUACAGAAUGUCUGCAUGAUGAACUGGUAGAGGAAAGAGAAUGGCUCAUAAAAGCUUUACAUUUCAACGCAAACUGCAAAAGACGGCAAGCGCGAAGGAAGGAUGGGGAGCGACAGUGGAGCAUCUCUUACCCAAAAGGGAAGGAUGGGAAGCCAGUGGCAAAGUCGGUCAAGGUGCCAAUUACCUAUGACGCUGCUGGAUGAAAUAAUGCAGAGGAGACAGACUUUUCCAACCUUGGAGGCAGCUGGGGUUGAUGCAAGAGAGAGAUGUAUGCCACGAAAUGUUGUUGAAAAUGAUAUGACAAGAUGCAGGUGGUAUGGUGGGGGUGGGGGGGGGAGAAAGAAUGCACCAGGUUCAACAAAGUAUUGGUUUAAUUCGGCUUUUGGAUAUUUAAAUCCACAAUAAUUGUAGUUAUCACUCUCCCACUGAGUACGUAUUCUACUAACAACACGGGAUGGCAGAACUCUUCUGUUUUUCUUCCCAAGGUUUUGAUAGAUCCAUCGUGUGAAUCGUCUGUAUGCAAUGUACCUGUAGACCCUGAAUGUUAAAAAAAAAAAAAGAAUAAAGAAAAAAC